UCCAGGCAAAUCCGGAUAAUCAAGGCUGAGGUGUGAUGACGAGGCACUACGGUGCUGAAGUAACAAAUGCCCUGCUUCCAGGAAAAGCCUCUAAGCAUCAGGUAACAUCAAAUCGUACCCCAAACCGACACAGGUGGUCAGGUAGAGAAUACCAAGGCGCUUGAGAGAACUCGGGUGAAGGAACUAGGCAAAAUGGUGCCGUAACUUCGGGAGAAGGCACGCUGGUGUGUAGGUGAAGUCCCUGCGGGUGGAGCUGAGACCAGUCGAAGAUACCAGCUGGCUGCAACUGUUUAUUAAAAACACAGCACUGUGCAAACACGAAAGUGGACGUAUACGGUGUGACGCCUGCCCGGUGCCGGAAGGUUAAUUGAUGGGGUUAUCCGUAAGGAGAAGCUCUUGAUCGAAGCCCCGGUAAACGGCGGCCGUAACUAUAACGGUCCUAAGGUAGCGAAAUUCCUUGUCGGGUAAGUUCCGACCUGCACGAAUGGCGUAAUGAUGGCCAGGCUGUCUCCACCCGAGACUCAGUGAAAUUGAACUCGCUGUGAAGAUGCAGUGUACCCGCGGCAAGACGGAAAGACCCCGUGAACCUUUACUAUAGCUUGACACUGAACAUUGAGCCUUGAUGUGUAGGAUAGGUGGGAGGCUUUGAAGCGUGGACGCCAGUCUGCGUGGAGCCAACCUUGAAAUACCACCCUUUAAUGUUUGAUGUUCUAACGUUGGCCCCUGACCGGGGUUGCGGACAGUGUCUGGUGGGUAGUUUGACUGGGGCGGUCUCCUCCCAAAGCGUAACGGAGGAGCACGAAGGUUAGCUAAUCCUGGUCGGACAUCAGGAGGUUAGUGCAAUGGCAUAAGCUAGCUUGACUGCGAGCGUGACGGCGCGAGCAGGUGCGAAAGCAGGUCAUAGUGAUCCGGUGGUUCUGAAUGGAAGGGCCAUCGCUCAACGGAUAAAAGGUACUCCGGGGAUAACAGGCUGAUACCGCCCAAGAGUUCAUAUCGACGGCGGUGUUUGGCACCUCGAUGUCGGCUCAUCACAUCCUGGGGCUGAAGUAGGUCCCAAGGGUAUGGCUGUUCGCCAUUUAAAGUGGUACGCGAGCUGGGUUUAGAACGUCGUGAGACAGUUCGGUCCCUAUCUGCCGUGGGCGCUGGAGAAUUGAGGGGGGCUGCUCCUAGUACGAGAGGACCGGAGUGGACGCAUCACUGGUGUUCGGGUUGUCAUGCCAAUGGCACUGCCCGGUAGCUAAAUGCGGAAGAGAUAAGUGCUGAAAGCAUCUAAGCACGAAACUUGCCCCGAGAUGAGUUCUCCCUGAGACUUUAAGUCUCCUGAAGGAACGUUGAAGACGACGACGUUGAUAGGCCGGGUGUGUAAGCGCAGCGAUGCGUUGAGCUAACCGGUACUAAUGAACCGUGAGGCUUAACCUU
rnacentral:rRNA from 1 species